CGAACGGAAAGGCUCCAGCUUGCUGGAGUACUCGAGUGGCGAACGGGUGAGUAACACGUGGGUAAUCUGCCCUGCACUCUGGGAUAAGCCUGGGAAACUGGGUCUAAUACUGGAUAUGACCUUUCUCCUUAUGGGGUUUGGUGGAAAGUUUUUCGGUGUAGGAUGAGCCCGCGGCCUAUCAGCUUGUUGGUGGGGUGAUGGCCUACCAAGGCGACGACGAGUAGCCGGCCUGAGAGGGUGAUCGGCCACAUUGGGACUGAGAUACGGCCCAGACUCCUACGGGAGGCAGCAGUGGGGAAUAUUGCACAAUGGGCGGAAGCCUGAUGCAGCGACGCCGCGUGAGGGAUGACGGCCUUCGGGUUGUAAACCUCUUUCAGCAGGGACGAAGCGUAAGUGACGGUACCUGCAGAAGAAGCACCGGCUAACUAUGUGCCAGCAGCCGCGGUAAUACGUAGGGUGCGAGCGUUGUCCGGAAUUACUGGGCGUAAAGAGCUCGUAGGCGGUUUGUCACGUCGUCUGUGAAAUCCUAGGGCUUAACCCUGGACGUGCAGGCGAUACGGGCUGACUUGAGUACUACAGGGGAGACUGGAAUUUCUGGUGUAGCGGUGGAAUGCACAGAUAUCAGGAAGAACACCGAUGGCGAAGGCAGGUCUCUGGGUAG
rnacentral:rRNA from 1 species